rnacentral:rRNA from 1 species
GGGUUGUGAGGUUAAGCGACUAAGCGUACACGGUGGAUGCCCUGGCAGUCAGAGGCGAUGAAGGGCGUGCUAAUCUGCGAUAAGCGCCGGUAAGGUGAUAUGAACCGUUAUAACCGGCGAUACCCGAAUGGGGAAACCCAGUGUGACUCGUCACACUAUCAUUAACUGAAUCCAUAGGUUAAUGAGGCGAACCGGGGGAACUGAAACAUCUAAGUACCCCGAGGAAAAGAAAUCAACCGAGAUUCCCCCAGUAGCGGCGAGCGAACGGGGAGGAGCCCAGAGCCUGAAUCAGCAUGUGUGUUAGUGGAAGCGUCUGGAAAGGCGCGCGAUACAGGGUGACAGCCCCGUACACAAAAGCGCAUGUGCUGUGAGCUCGAUGAGUAGGGCGGGACACGUGGUAUCCUGUCUGAAUAUGGGGGGACCAUCCUCCAAGGCUAAAUACUCCUGACUGACCGAUAGUGAACCAGUACCGUGAGGGAAAGGCGAAAAGAACCCCGGCGAGGGGAGUGAAAAAGAACCUGAAACCGUGUACGUACAAGCAGUGGGAGCCCCACCACCAAA